rnacentral:rRNA from 1 species
GCAAAUCAAUAUAAAUUGAUUUAUUAAUAUUUAUUUAUUAAUUUUUUUUUUGUUUUAUUUAAUGUAUUAAAAAUAAUUAUAUAAAAAUAAUUUUUUAGUAAUUUUUAAUGAAAAAAUAAUUUUUAUGGUAGUGUAGUAGGUAUUGUGAAAGGGUAUUGAAAUAUUUUGAAAAAUUUUUGUAUAUAAAGAAAAUUUAUUUUAUUGUACCUUGUGUAUCAGGGUUUAUUAAAUAAAUAAUAAAUAUUUAUUAAUCUCGAUUUUUUAAGAGUUAAUGAUUUAUAAAAGUUAAUGUAUUAAAAUUAUUUUAUAUAAAUCAUUGGAAAUGAAAUGUUAUUCGUUUAAAAAGGUAUCUAGUUUUUUUAGAAAUAAAUUUAAUUUACAAAUUUUUAAAUUUUAAUUUAAUUUAAUAAAUUAAAAAAUUAUUAAUUUGAAUAUUUUAAGGGAUAAGCUUUAAAAUAAAUUAUUAAAAAUUGUAAUAAAUUAAUUUAAAUGUAUGUGUAGAAUUAGCAAUCAUUAUUAAGUUUGUUAUAAAAUAUUUGUUUAUGAAUAUUAUUUAUUUUAUUUUAAUUUUUUUAUAAAAAUGUUUUUGAAAAUUUUUCUUAAAAAUUAAUAAUGAUAAAAUUAGUAUAGUUUAAUGUUUAAAUAAAUUAAAUUGUUAAGUUUAAGUAAAGAACUCGGCAAAUAAAAUAUUCCCGCCUGUUUAACAAAAACAUGUCUUUUUGAGUUAUUUUUAAAGUCUAACCUGCCCAAUGAAUUUUUAAAUGGCCGCAGUAUUCUAACUGUGCAAAGGUAGCAUAAUCAUUAGUCUUUUAAUUGAAGGCUGGAAUGAAUGGUUGGACGAGGAAUAAGCUGUUUCAUUUAAAUUUAUUAUAGAAUUUUAUAUUUUAGUUAAAAAGCUAAAUUAUUAUUAAAAGACGAGAAGACCCUAUAAAUCUUUAUAAUUAUUUAUUUUUAAAUUUUUUUGAUUUAUUUUGUUUUUAAAUAGGUAAUUAUUUUGUUGGGGUGAUGUUAAAAUUUAAUGAACUUUUAAUUAAAAAAAUCAUUUAUUUAUGAUCAGUUGAUCCUUUAAUAAUGAUUAUAAGAUUAAGUUACUUUAGGGAUAACAGCGUAAUUUUUUUGGAGAGUUCUUAUCGAUAAAAAAGUUUGCGACCUCGAUGUUGGAUUAAGAUAAAGGUUAGGUGUAGCUGUUUAACUAUUAAGUCUGUUCGACUUU